UUCAUUUUCCAAUUAGUUUUCAACAAAAGAAAAGGAAAAGGAUAGAAGAAACACCCAAUUCCCUUUGUUUCCUUCCUCUGAUCAUGAAAAUAGAGAAGUAGAAGGAGGUAAAUUUUGAGCUAGCUUUCAAUAAUGGGGCAUAUAAUCUUAGCUCAAAUCUCAAAACCUCUAUGGCGUAUAAUUAGCAUUCUCUACUAAUAAAGGUUUGCAUGUGAAGUAUGCAUUGCUUAAUCGCACAGAUUAGAGAAUGGUAAUCAUGCAGAAAAUUCUGCAAUUUGAUGCCUUAAACAUGGACUGAAAUUUUCACUACAAGAAAAUUAGUGAUUUGCUACGAAAAUAAU
rnacentral:lncRNA from 1 species